UUGAAGGGACCCGUGGAAGGGUAGAAGUGCCUGAACAGGGGAGUCUGGGUAAUACAUUGUUAACAGUUAUUUAGCGCCUGCUAAUGGGCACGUGGAACACUGCCAGGCAUUUUAUGGCGGAAGUGGCAUGAGAGCAGGGAAGGUGUGUGAGUUUCUUUCUGUGUGCGUGUGGGGAGAGACCUACAUACAAGGCAGCGAGGACAUGGUUUUAGUGCUGCAGCUGAUCUGAGGAAAAAAACAGACAUCACACAGAUGCAGUGUGGAUGUCGUUGUACGGGGAGAAGUGCAACAUUCAUCUUCAGCCAUCUGCUUCCCUCCAAAAUCGAGGGUCCCUGCUACACAUCCGGCAUGUCCUGGGGAGGCAGACCCUAGUCCGAGAACUGCUGGAUCCUCUGCAUGCCUCCACUAAGAAAAGCCACGACUUGAACUCCGUGCCUAUCUGCAGUUGAAGCAACACUGCAAAGUAAACGACCGGGGCCCCUCCGAGCGUAUCCUGCUUAUGCUGGCCCAGAAUCACUCGUCAUCCAAGUGAAGUGACCCCCGCGUUCUUUCAUAAAGUUAACCUUCCAUUCAAAAUGUGGUAUUUACUGACACACUUGAUAGAAGUUGACGGAUCUAUGACAUUUAUUGAUUUUCUUUUUACGAGCCGGUUCUGGUCUCGACGCCGUUUAUUCAGGCCUCUGUGCGCCUCGGAUGCUAUUCUAGUUGAACUCCUGCUCUGGCUGCAAUAGCUUGUCUCAUUUGCACAAGCGCAACAGACACACAAAGACUGAAAGAGAGAGAGACAGAUGGCUCUGUGCACCUCUGAGUUACAGCCCGAAGCAGCGGGAGUCAUUUCUUAUUCAGAGAUAAAAAAAAAUGCUUUGCUCAGCUUACUAGGCUGCUGCUACACACAUCACAUUAUUGCUUUCAUGCUAUCAAACUGAAACUUAUUUAGUAUAAUUAUCUCACUGUCUACAGAUAAAACGAAAGAAGAGGGUUCAAUAUAAGAAUUUACUACUGUAGUUAAGAAAAAAAGGAGUGUUUAGAGUAGGGAGGUGAGAGGAAGCAAAACUGGAACAACGAUAAAAAUUGUAACUAAAAUUGCAACUAGUCUGAAGUCUGUCCAU